UACGUAGGGGUGCAAGCGUUUAAUCGGAAUUACUGGGCGUAAAGCGUGCGCAGGCGGUUUUGUAAGUCUGUCGUGAAAUCCUCGGGCUCAACCUGAGAAUUGCGAUGGAGACUGCAAGGCUAGAAUCUGGCAGAGGGGGGUAGAAUUCCACGUGUAGCAGUGAAAUGCGUAGAGAUGUGGAGGAACGCCGAUGGCGAAGGCAGCCCCCUGGGUCAAGAUUGACGCUCAUGCACGAAAGGCGUGGGGAGCAAACGAGG
rnacentral:rRNA from 1 species